rnacentral:rRNA from 1 species
UACGGAGGGUGCAAGCGUUAUCCGGAUUCACUGGGUUUAAAGGGUGCGUAGGUGGGCUAGUAAGUCAGUGGUGAAAUCUCCGGGCUUAACCCGGAAACUGCCAUUGAUACUAUUAGUCUUGAAUACCAUGGAGGUGAGCGGAAUAUGUCAUGUAGCGGUGAAAUGCUUAGAUAUGACAUAGAGCACCAAUUGCGAAGGCAGCUCGCUACGCGGUUAUUGACACUGAGGCACGAAAGCGUGGGGAUCAAACAGG